CAGCAGCCGCCGCGGGAAUACGAAGGGUGCAAGCGUUAAUCGGAAUUACUGGGCGUAAAGCGUGCGUAGGCGGUGAGUUAAGUCUGCUGUGAAAUCCCCGGGCUCAACCUGGGAAUGGCAGUGGAUACUGGCUCGCUAGAGUGUGUCAGAGGAUGGUGGAAUUCCCGGUGUAGCGGUGAAAUGCGUAGAGAUCGGGAGGAACAUCAGUGGCGAAGGCGGCCAUCUGGGACAACACUGACGCUGAGGCACGAAAGCGUGGGGAGCAAACAGGAUUAGAUACCCGGGUAGUCCCUGUCUCUUAUAC
rnacentral:rRNA from 1 species